AUACGUAGGUGACAAGCGUUAUCCGGAUUUACUGGGCGUAAAGGGCGUGUAGGCGGUCUUGCAAGUCAGAAGUGAAAUUCCUGAGCUCAACUCGGGCGCUGCUUCUGAAACUGCAGGACUUGAGUGCUGGAGGGGAUAGCGGAAUUCCUAGUGGAGCGGUAAAAUGCGCAGAUAUUAGGAAGAACACCGGUGGCGAAGGCGGCUAUCUGGACAGUAACUGACGCUGAGGCGCGAAAGCGUGGGGAGAAAACAGGAUUAGAUACCCUGGUGGUCCACGCCGUAAACGAUGAAUACUAGGUGUAGGGGGUAUCGACUCCCUCUGUGCCGCAGUGAACACAAUAAGUAUUCCGCCUGGGGAGUACGGCCGCAAGGUUGAAACUCAAAGGAAUUGACGGGG
rnacentral:rRNA from 1 species